GUGUCAGCCGCCGCGGUAAUACGGGGGGGGCAAGCGUUGUUCGGAAUUACUGGGCGUAAAGGGCUCGUAGGCGGCCGACUAAGUCAGACGUGAAAUCCCCCGGCUUAACCGAGGAACUGCGUCUGAUACUGGACGGCUUGAAUUCGGGAGAGGGAUGCGGAAUUCCAGGUGUAGCGGUGAAAUGCGUAGAUAUCUGGAGGAACACCGGUGGCGAAGGCGGCAUCCUGGACCGACAUUGACGCUGAGGAGCGAAAGCCAGGGGAGCAAACGGGAUUAGAUACCCCAGUAGUCC
rnacentral:rRNA from 1 species